rnacentral:rRNA from 1 species
UACGGGAGGCAGCAGUGGGGAAUAUUGCACAAUGGGCGAAAGCCUGAUGCAGCUAUGCCGCGUGUAUGAAGAAGGCCUUUAGGGUUGUAAAGUACUUUCAUCGGGGAGGAAAAAACAAAACUAAUAAUUUUAUUUCUUGACGUUACCCGAAAAAGAAGCACCGGCUAACUCCGUGCCAGCAGCCGCGGUAAUACGGAGGGUGCUAGCGUUAAUCAGAAUUACUGGGCGUAAAGAGCACGUAGGUGGUUUUUUUAAGUUAGAUGUGAAAUCCCUGGGCUUAACCUAGGAACUGCAUUUUGAAACUGAAAUACUAGAGUAUCGUAGAGGGAGGUAGAAUUCUAGGUGUAGCGGUGAAAUGCGUAGAUAUCUGGAGGAAUACCUGUGGCGAAAGCGGCCUCCUAAACGAAUACUGACACUGAGGGUGCGAAAGCGUGGGGAGCAAACAGGGAUUAGAUACC